AUACCUCACAACUAAACUACUAAUUUAUAAGCGACUGCCCGUGCCUACCCGGACUCAUGGCGUCCAACUAUGGAGUGCGGCCAAAAUGUCAAAUUUAAACGGAACGCAAAUAGAUUCCAAUCGAUCACCUUGCGCAUGAGGCGCAUUUGGCGCACUGAGGCCCCUUCCUUUGUAUCCAUCCAUACACUUCACACAGACCUAAACACCGAAACUGUUCUAGAAGUGUCCUCGAUUAUAAUAAAUAAACGUUAUCGUUCACGAUUGGAAAAUCGCUCUGACCCACUAAUAUCAGCACUUGACUGCAGACUCAACGCCCGGUAAUCCCCGAAGGAGGCCUGAGAAAAGAUGGUGUCGCGGCCUAAACUUUUAAUCUAAAUCUAAAUAAACAUAAAAAAAAAGUUUAGCCACUGAGUUACUCUUUUUAUCAAGUAACUCGUAUCAGUUAUUAUUAUCAUAGCGCAUUUUCUUAUU